UACGUAGGGUGCGAGCGUUAAUCGGAAUUACUGGGCGUAAAGCGUGCGCAGGCGGUUUUGUAAGCCAGAUGUGAAAGCCCCGGGCUUAACCUGGGAACAGCAUUUGAUACUCGAGAGCUUGAGUUCGGGAGAGGAGAGUGGAAUUCCCAGUGUAGAGGUGAAAUUCGUAGAUAUUGGGAAGAACACCGGUGGCGAAGGCGGCGAUCUGGGUAGAUACUGACGCUGAGGUGCGAAAGCGUGGGGAGAAAACAGG
rnacentral:rRNA from 1 species